rnacentral:misc_RNA from 1 species
UUUCCGUAGGUGAACCUGCGGAAGGAUCAUUCAUAAUAAAGUGUUUUAUGGCACUUUUUAAAAAUCCAUAUCCACCUUGUGUGCAAUGUUAGAUCUCGUCAAUCUUGGCGAGAUUUUUAUACAUCAACUCAUUCUUUAACUAAUUUAUCUGAAAAAUAUUAAGAAUACUUAAUUCAAAAUACAACUUUCAACAACGGAUCUCUUGGCUCUC